GUCUCUGUAGCUCAAAGGAUAGUGCGUUGGACUUCUAAUCCAAAGGUCGUGGGUUCGAAUCCCACCUGGGUUG
rnacentral:tRNA from 1 species